CAUUCGGAGCCACUUGUG
rnacentral:siRNA from 1 species